rnacentral:tRNA from 1 species
GCGGGGGUCCCCGAGCUAGGUCAAAGGGGGCAGUUCACAAAUCUGCUGGCUAAGGCCUUCGUGGGUUCAAAUCCCACCCCCCGCA